CCAUUGACAAUUGACAGCCUGAUACAACUGGAGAGCAAUUCCUGUUUCAGUUUCAGAAACCCUACCAAAAUCUCCCAAUUUGAUUAUUUAUUUUUGAUGCGAAAUUUACACGUCCCUGCAGCUACUGAUAAGCUCCACGAAAAGAAAGGAAGUAUAAUUAUUUAACCAGGAGCUGCGGUAUGGGAAGAAAGAGGCGGGAGUUGAAGGAUAACGACAGCGAUAAUACUAACAAAGCGAAGAGGAAGAAGGCGACGGCGCAGGCGGAGGAAGCCGGAGAUAUGGCGGAGCAGCAGCGGAGAGUGCCUCUUUCGGCGGUGGUUUUGGAUUGCUCGGAGCGGUGGUUUCAGGACACGCUCAAGGAGGCGAAAGCUGGUGACGUCAACAUGCAGGUGCUUGUGGGCCAGAUGUACUAUAGCGGGUAUGGUGUUCCCAAAGACGCUGACAAGGGAAAAUUAUGGAUUUCAAGGGCUUCGAGGAUGAGGUCUUCAUCUUGGAAAGUUAGCCAUAAACGUCCAGGUUACAAUGCGAGUGAUUCGGAUACGGAUGAGAUUGUCAGUGAUUCUUGAUAAUUUUUUUCGCAAAGAGGUGAUUUAUAAGGAAGUCUUGGACCAGGCAGUUUUGAUCUUGAACCUUUGAAGGGAAUGGAUAGUGACAGAGUUGAUUCCAAAGCCGGAUGUGAAGAUUAUGUGUAUCUGUAAACCAAAAACUCCCAAUUCAUUGCUGCCGUGCUUGAAGAUUUUCUGUGCCAUGUAAGGAAAGUCUUUUAGUGCACCCCCUCCCUUUCCCAAUGUGGGUUCAUGUGUAUGUUCUUGAUUGAAUUGAAACAGUUUUGUUGGGGGAAUUCGAAUUGCUGAUUGUUCUUUGGGUGGUGAUGAAAAGGCGUUUAUAAUCAAUCUGAAGGUAUAUAGAUAUAUAUUGUAUUA